rnacentral:rRNA from 1 species
GUAAACGGCGGCCGUAACUAUAACGGUCCUAAGGUAGCGAAAUUCCUUGUCGGGUAAGUUCCGACCUGCACGAAUGGCGUAAUGAUGGCCAGGCUGUCUCCACCCGAGACUCAGUGAAAUUGAACUCGCUGUGAAGAUGCAGUGUACCCGCGGCAAGACGGAAAGACCCCGUGAACCUUUACUAUAGCUUGACACUGAACAUUGAGCCUUGAUGUGUAGGAUAGGUGGGAGGCUUUGAAGUGUGGACGCCAGUCUGCAUGGAGCCGACCUUGAAAUACCACCCUUUAAUGUUUGAUGUUCUAACGUGGACCCGUAAUCCGGGUUGCGGACAGUGUCUGGUGGGUAGUUUGACUGGGGCGGUCUCCUCCUAAAGAGUAACGGAGGAGCACGAAGGUUGGCUAAUCCUGGUCGGACAUCAGGAGGUUAGUGCAAUGGCAUAAGCCAGCUUGACUGCGAGCGUGACGGCG